rnacentral:rRNA from 1 species
ACGAACGCUGGCGGCGUGCUUAACACAUGCAAGUCGAACGGAAAGGCCCUGCUUGCAGGGUGCUCGAGUGGCGAACGGGUGAGUAACACGUGGGUGAUCUGCCCCUUACUUUGGGAUAAGCCUGGGAAACUGGGUCUAAUACUGGAUAGGACCAUGCUGUAGGUGGUGUGGUGGAAAGAUUAGUUUCGGUAAGGGAUGAGCUCGCGGCCUAUCAGCUUGUUGGUGGGGUAAUGGCCUACCAAGGCGUCGACGGGUAGCCGGCCUGAGAGGGUGGACGGCCACAUUGGGACUGAGAUACGGCCCAGACUCCUACGGGAGGCAGCAGUGGGGAAUAUUGCACAAUGGGCGCAAGCCUGAUGCAGCGACGCCGCGGGGGGGAUGACGGCCUUCGGGUUGUAAACUCCUUUCAGCCAUGACGAAGCCCUUGUGGUGGCGGUAGUGGUAGAAGAAGCACCGGCUAACUACGUG